AUUGCAUCCUUUUGCUCACUUUGUCUCUAAAACCUGAAAACACAUGAAAAUAGCUUAAAAGACUAAUUUAACUAAGAAAACACAACAUAAAUGCAUAAGAACUAGCUAACUAAGGCGCAUAAAUAUGCUCCUAUCAACUACUGAUUCGUACAUCAAAAGCCAGACUCAAGAUAUAAUGAAUGGUUCUAUGUUCUGGGAAUAUACAUAUAUCCAAAACCCUAUUCACCAAAUUAUAUAUAUAUAUACACACUAAAAGAGAAAAAUGCCUAAAACACUAUUCAUAAGCACAGUGUCAUUCCGUUUUUGCCCUUACUUAAUUUGUUUUAUUUCAUUUCUGCCAAAAUCUCAGUUGGUGCCUUUAUCUGGUGCUACUCCUGAUUUACACGUGUUGGUGAUGUACACGUUGUUUGGAUCAAAACUUGAACUUUGGGCUCAGGAAAGGGGCUGGCCCAAAAGGAUGCCUAAAGGAAAGCCCAGCCAAAGCCCAGAAAGCAGAAAAUGGGCUUUUCUAACUUGGUGCAGCUCAUGAAGACCACUUGCUCACCUACCCAAAAGCCAAGUGGUAUAGACUGACCAGCUAUACAACCCAUAAAGUACUUUAUAAUGGCAGAACAAGUAAUAUAGCUGAUGAGUCACUGCCUCUCAAGUUGCAUUCGGGUAAGGCUGCUGCUACAAGAGGCCAAGCUGAGUUGUCUAUAAAAGAAGAAAGAGAAAUCAGGAUUAAGGACACUCAAACAAACAAACAAAUGCAAGCACAAACUCUGCUCAAAGCCAGAUUUGCCUUCAGAACGAAGCUGUAGUCAGCUCAAGCCUUCAUCCCUCUCGGGACAAUGCUACCCUGUUCAACCUUGCUGUAGUAUUGAUUUCUCUUUAAAACUCCUCUCCUUACCUCUCCCUAAAAAGCUCUCAGACCCUUAAUAAGCCACAAAGAUAGGAACCUGCAAGACGACCAGGCUUGCCCGACAAGAUUAAACCUUGCCCGACCUUCUUUGUGUUUUUGUCUUUUCAUUCAUUAGCCUAGCAAUAUGUUGUAUACUUCCAGUUAUAUUCAAGUUAUUUCUAGCAAGAUGACUAUUAAAAGGCUUUCUCAGUACUCGGAUCCGAUUUGAAUAUAUAUUCAUUGUUCAAACCAGAUCUAAGUUCUAAGCCCUCGGGCAUGUAAAUUUGAUCAGUUAAAAGUCCUUGGCCUCAAGGCAUAAAAAAGAACCUUAUGUGGACUUAACCCAUCCACGACAAUCCUUGAUAAACGAGAAGUCCGAAGUUACUUGGGGCGCAAGUAAUCGACCUACCUCUUAGUCUUAUUUCUAUUAUAUUAUGAUUAUCAUAGAAUGCGUAAGCAUGGAAUGGAUUCUGAUGGGAAGCCUCAAGGCCUACACCUAAGGCCCCACGAAGGCACCUAUUUGGAUUCAUUCCGUUCUGCGGUCUAGAACGUUUGAGUAUAAGAACAAACUCUAAUGGAAAGCCUCAAGGCCUACAUCUAAGGCCCUACAAAGGCACCUAUUUGGGUUCAUUCUACCUCUCGGACUCGGGUAAUCAGAAGUAUAAUAGUUAUAAGACUCAUGCACUCACGAGCACAAAUAUGAUGUGUUCGAGCACUGGUUUAGUUAUUGAUAGGAAGCCUCAAGGCCUACACCUAAGGCCCCACAAAGGCACCUAUCAUAACUAACACGGUUUCUCGGGUAUAUACAUAUAUACAACUAAAACUCGACAUCCAUUUCACAUCUGCCAUGCUGAAGAUGGCAGUGGCACGCCUGAGUACUUAAAAGUUAACCUUGAUUGUGAGCCUCAAGGCCUACACCUAAGGCCCCACAAAGGCACCUCUCAAAGU
rnacentral:lncRNA from 1 species